AACGUAGGUGGCAAGCGUUAUCCGGAAUUACUGGGCGUAAAGGGUGUGCAGGCGGGGAAGCAAGUGGUGUAUGAAAUCUCCCAGCUUAACUGGGAUAGGUUAUGCCAGACUGCUUUUUCUAGAGGACGAGAGAGGGGGGGUGGAAUUCCGGGUGUAGUGGUGAAAUGCGUAGAGAUCGGAAAGAACACCAACGGCGAAAGCACUCUGCUGGGCCGACACUGACACUGAGAGACGAAAAGCUAGGGGAAGCGAAAUGGG
rnacentral:rRNA from 1 species